GUUAGCAGGUCUGCUUUAUUGACUACACCAACGUAAUGACAAUGUAUCAACGUUUAUACCUACUUUCAUACACGUUUAUGUACGGCGUAUUCCUCAAUAUAUGUAGCCCACAUUAGAACGCUGACUGAGACUUUCUUCCGAUUGACUUUGAGCGAUGUUGUUCUCAGUUUGAUUCGACCUCAAGGAACCAUGUCUGUCUAACUGCGGGGUAGGGGAUUACCGAACAGAAAUCUGGAAAUCUGUUCCAUCCUACAGGAGAG